rnacentral:tRNA from 1 species
GGAGUUGUGGCUCAGCGGUAGAGCACUCGCCUAGCUAGUGUGAGGCCCUGGGUUCUAUCCUCAGCACCA